GGCAGCACUGGGAGAGCGACCUGGUAGCUGGCAGAUAUAGCCCCCCUUGGCAUGAGCGAUUGCCAUGGGGAGCUUUCUGCGCUCUUCAAAUCUCUGAAAAGAGUUAGUGCAUUUGCUACAAGCCCGUGUAUCGCCGCGAGCUUGUUCAUGCGGAUACCGCAUCGCUCGAGGAGAACAGCGUUCUCCUCGCGGUUCCGUGGCCCCA
rnacentral:sRNA from 10 species